GGGGGCUUUUCUUUUUGUGAGCAACAAGACUCAGUCCAUUUAGUCUGAGUCUCUACAGGCAGAAGGGGGUUUCUCACAUACAUAUACCCCUCUAUCUUAACUGGGAUGUUUGCUGGGGCUUUAUACCCCUAUUUCCUCGCCCACUGUGCUACUCAGCUUUUGCCUCUCUCCAUUUUCCCCUGAACUUAUCCAUUUUUUUUUUCAUUUUCUGUGUAUCCAGAGACCAUAG